UUGAUUCUUUUGUAUUAUUCAGACAACACACAGAUUACAGCAUAGAGGCGACGUCCGAAAAGGACGCCGAAGCACGGUGUUUGCGUCCACAGGUUCAAUAAUGAUCCCUCCGCAGGUUCACCUACGGAGA
rnacentral:misc_RNA from 1 species